UACAGGGGGUGCAAACGUUGCUCGGAAUCAUUGGGCGUAAAGCGCACGUAGGCGGUCUGUUAUGUCGGAUGUGAAAGCCCUUGGCUUAACCGAGGAAGUGCAUCCGAAACUGGCGAGCUAGAGUACUAAAGAGGAUCGCGGAAUUCCCGGUGUAGAGGUGAAAUUCGUAGAUAUCGGGAGGAACACCGGUGGCGAAGGCGGCGAUCUGGGUAGAUACUGACGCUGAGGUGCGAAAGCGUGGGGAGCAAACAGG
rnacentral:rRNA from 1 species